rnacentral:rRNA from 1 species
GACGAACGCUGGCGGCGUGCUUAACACAUGCAAGUCGAACGGAAAGGCCCUGCUUUUUUGGGGUGCUCGAGUGGCGAACGGGUGAGUAACACGUGAGUAACCUGCCCUUGACUUUGGGAUAACUUCAGGAAACUGGGGCUAAUACCGGAUAGGAGCUCCUGCUGCAUGGUGGGGGUUGGAAAGUUUCGGCGGUUGGGGAUGGACGCUGGGCUUAUCAGCUUGUUGGUUGGGUAGUUGCUUCCCAAGGGUUUGGCGGGUAGUCUGCAUGGGAGGGUGAACAGCCACAUUGGGACUGAGGUACGGCCCAGACUCCUACGGGAGGCAGCAGUGGGGAAUAUUGCACAAUGGGCGGAAGCCUGAUGCAGCAACGCCGCGUGCGGGAUGACGGCCUUCGGGUUGUAAACCGCUUUCGGCUGUGACGAAGCGUGAGUGACGGUAAUGGGUAAAGAAGCACCGGCUAACUACGUG